AGCUUAAUCCACAGACUCCACAGAUCAGAAGAGAAUAAUCCCAUUUCCCAAAUAGCAUCAUUCCCUCAUCAAAAUCUUCUCCUACUUUUAUCUUCUGUUCAACCAAACCUGUUUCCUUCAACAAAUCCUAUCUUCUUUCUCAAACCCUCAAUCCAUAAUCAAGUAUCUCGACAAUUUCGGCGAAAAUGGCAAAAGCAGAUGAAAUUCAAACCAUUUCCUUAUCAUUCACUGAUUUCCCAGAAGAUGUGCAGCUCUGUAUCCUCUCAUUCCUCACCCCUUUAGAUAUCUCCAAUUUCGCCUGCACUUCAAAGCGCUUCGUCUCUCUUUGCCGUGAUGACCCAAGACUCUGGUUUUCCAUGUGUCACCGCAAAUGGGGAUCCAAAACCCAUAUCAACAAAUGGGUUAAUAACGGUAGAAUUCCUUACAAGCUUCUUUACAAUACCCUUUUAGAGUAUGAGAAUCUCAUUGGCUUCUGGCGCCUCAGUGGUACUGAUUCUGAUACUGAUUCCUCUUUAAUCUUUUUUGAGUGGGGUUCAUUUUAUAUAGCUGGUUCAAGGGUUAAACCCGCAAGAAAUUGUACUUAUGGAGUGAUAAAGUUGCCAUUUUUAUGGAUGGGUUUUAACUCUAAGGGUGAAAUUGUCAAUUAUCUCGAUCCUGAAGGGAGAGUUGAGUUGUUAUCUGAAAAUGUGAUGAAUUUUGAUGAUUUGGGUUUUGGGGAGAGUGAAUUGAUUCAGGUGAAUGUGAAUUUCAUGGGAAAAACUCAUGUUGUUGUGGAAGAAAAUUGUGGCAGUGCACUUGGGUAUUCUUGUAAUUCUCCACAGAACAGAGGAGGAUUCAGGAAAGUUUCAAGCUCAGGGAACAUGAGGGGAGAGGAGUAUGAGGAUUUAUGUGGGUCCCCUGGAAGCUUGCCAGAUAGGUUGAUGUCCGAGAUUUAUCAGUAUUUCGCCAACAAGACGAGUCCCGGUGGGAACGGGUCAUCGAGGAGGCAGAGAAGGAAGGAGAAGGAAAGGCAGGGGAAAAGGAAGUGGGAGCCUGAACAUUAUGUGAAAAUCGUGAAUUGCUCGCCUACACCAGCCAGGCCUUUACAGGGCUUGUGGAAGGGAUUCUGUGACGACAUGACUUUGGAGUUCUUCCUUGUCUCUUAUGAUGAUGUUGGUGGUAUCACUUGCAGAAGGGUUGUGGAAUUAUGUAAACCUUUCUCUGCCUAUGCCCCAGUAUUUUGGACUUCAAAUACCACAUUCAUUGAGUCCCCUUUAUCUUCAGAAGAAGAAAACAUAUAUGAGAGUCGCAUACAUAUUCGGCCCCUUGCUGAAGCUGAUGACCCAUGUGAGAUUCUGUCUAGUUCUGACAAAGGANUGCCUAGUUCUGAUAAGGGAGUUGUUUUGCGCAUGCUUUGCAUGAACUCAAGCUACGACUUGGUUAUUCCUGAUUUGGCAGGAAGCACUGUAAAUCCUAGGCAGGCGGAGGGAAGGAUUUGGCAGUAUGAAAAUGGGACAUUUGGAUACGGGUUUCUGCGAGACAAUUACAUUAUAGACUUGAGGCAUAUUGCUCAAAAUGGUCAGAUAUUUGACACAGCAGAUAUUUCUAGUGAUUGAUCUUGCUGCAUAAAUUAGUCAGACAAACAUGCAGAAGGAAAUUUCUAAUUUAUAUUCUUUGUACAUAUUAGUUGGUUCUUGAUGCUGUUUCAUUUUCGCAUGUCAAGGGUGUAAAGAUGCUUAGCUGAUUACUUCAUCUAUCAUGUAGAAGCUUUGACAUACUCAUUCAUCAGCAUUUAAAGUUUUCAUUGUGCGUGUGGCAUUUUAUAUCUCUAUUCCCUCUCCCACGGUGUUGAUUGUAAUUUGUGGUUAGCUACUGGCACCUUCUGUCCCAUGACUCUCACCAAAUAUUCAUAGAUCUCCAAGGACUUUCGGAGUUGAAUGGCUGGUGAGUUUUGUGAAAUUUAAAACAUCCUGCUGAUUACUGUUGCUUUUAAAUUUUGUAUACUGAGGAGUUUCUGAUUCUUCACAAAACUUGUGUUUAUGUUUCUAUAUAUAUCUGAAGUUUCAUUUUAGCCUCUUGUUCCAAUUUUUUUGCCUUUUCUUUUACCAAAUAAUUUUGCUUUUCCUGUCUGUCAAGUGUCCAGAGUGCUAAUGGUAUAAUGUAUAGCUAUCCAUAAAGUUCUCAGGUAGGGGAAAGGAUGAAAGUGGGGGUGACAGAAUGAUUCUACAAGCAGGGUGCAAAAUACAACGUUAAUGGAUAAACUUGCAGGUAGACCACUCUAGCCUUGAAAAACUGGCAAUGGAGAAAUGACAGUUUUAAAAGUCUAUGCUUUUUAUGUAGUCUCUUUUUGCCCUGAUAAUAGGAACUUAAUACUAGAUUUCCUCAAAAGGAUCUCUAUAAGAGCAAUCGAAUUGGAGAAGAAUCACCUUCCAGCAUUUGGAUCCUGUGAGAUACAAAGAAUUCCAUAAUUUGAGGUCGAAGGAGUGUGUUGCAAAGAUUUGCAUGGCACUGGGACAGCAAAACCGUGCUAUAUUCAACAUUCACACAAUACAAGUGAAGCACAAGAAACAAAGGUCAAAAAUCUACACACAGAAGUAGACAAUAUAUAGUUCAGCAUCAAAUUAAUGGAAGUAGAUGAGAGAAAACAUAGGCUGCGGUGAAGAAGGAAGUGCAUUCAUAGAAGCUUCUGAAGGCAUUAGAUCCUUGAAUAAAGCAAGAUAGGUAAGACAUGAUUGCGGAAAGCUGAGGAGG